GAUGAACGCUGGCGGCGUGCCUAAUACAUGCAAGUCGAACGAAACUUCUUUAUCACCGAGUGCUUGCACUCACCGAUAAAGAGUUGAGUGGCGAACGGGUGAGUAACACGUGGGCAACCUGCCCAAAAGAGGGGGAUAACACUUGGAAACAGGUGCUAAUACCGCAUAACCAUAGUUACCGCAUGGUAACUAUGUAAAAGGUGGCUAUACUACCGCUUUUGGAUGGGCCCGCGGCGCAUUAGCUAGUUGGUAGGGUAAAGGCUUACCAAGGCAAUGAUGCGUAGCCGAAUUGAGAGGUUGAUCGGCCACAUUGGGACUGAGACACGGCCCAGACUCCUACGGGAGGCAGCAGUAGGGAAUCUUCCACAAUGGGCGAAAGCCUGAUGGAGCAACGCCGCGUGAGUGAAGAAGGUCUUCGGAUCGUAAAACCCUGUUGUUAGAGAAGAAAGUGCGUGAGAGUAACUGUUCACGUUUCGACGGUAUCUAACCAGAAAGCCACGGCUAACUACGUG
rnacentral:rRNA from 1 species